rnacentral:rRNA from 1 species
UACGAGUGCCUCGAGCGUUAUCCGGAAUCAUUGGGCGUAAAGAGCUCGUAGGCGGUGUGUCGCGUCGGCCGUGAAAACCUGCAGCUUAACUGUGGGCUUGCGGUCGAUACGGGCAUCACUGGAGUUCGGCAGGGGAGACUGGAAUUCCUGGUGUAGCGGUGAAAUGCGCAGAUAUCAGGAGGAACACCGGUGGCGAAGGCGGGUCUCUGGGCCGAUACUGACGCUGAGGAGCGAAAGCGUGGGGAGCGAACAGG